UUCUGAUCGUCAAUACAAUACCUAGAGAAACGAUAAAGAGCCCCGUGUGACAUCACCACCAUCUUAUUAGUUUAUAAAUCUGGCCCUCACAGUGGGUUGGUCUCUAUAAGGUGUACCUUUCUGAUCGUCAAUACAAUACCUAGAGAAACGAUAAAGAGCCCCGUGUGACAUCACCACCAUCUUAUUAGUUUAUAAAUCUGGCCCUCACAGUGGGUUGGUCUCUAUAAGGAAUACCUUUCUGAUCGUCAAUACAAUACUUAGAGAAACGAUAAAGAGUCCCGUGUGACAUCACCUCCAUCUUAUUAGUCUAUAAAUCUGGCCCUCACAGUGGGUUGGUCUCUAUAAGGUAUACCUUUCUGAUCGUCAAUACAAUACUUAGAGAAACGAUAAAGAGUCCCAUGUGACAUCACCACCAUCUUAUUAGUCUAUAAAUCUGGCCCUCUCAGUGGGACGGUCUCUAUAAGGUGAACCUUUCUGAUCGUCUAGUAAACAUCACUUUUGACGUGCAGAAAUUGAAUGCUAGUCUUUUCGGGACUGAAACAAGUCGUUUCGGGACAUAUACAAUUUUUAACGUUUCGCUCCCGUUUCAUAAAAAGUCAUGUAAAUACACAAGUAUGGUUUUAGUCUAUGACCUGUAUCACGACCUACACGUGCUUGGGAUCAUUAUAGUGUUAACAGAUUGCUAGUGCUUGAGGGGAUACCUACCAACAUUUACCAGAUUGACACUGUGUUGUUACCUGAUGAAACAAAUAUCAUCAUUAAAUACAGAUCUAGAGGAACUUGUGAUAUUCAACAUCAAUUUCUUUCAUUACUGAUAGGUUAAUUCCUUGUUUGAUAUUGUAGUAAUGUUUUCAAUUCACUUUAUUCUCCGUUAUUGUUAUUGACAUUAAGAGACGAAUGAAUUAACAUUGAUUCUAACAAUGUUUCAAGCAUUUUAUUUUUGCUAUAUUGAAAUCAAAUUUCAUGAAAGUAAAAAACGUGAAACCCGCAGAAUGUAUUUUAGACAUGUGAAUCAAUUCAUCAAAUCCAGCAAUAUAUAGUUUGAAUGAUGUUUUUAUGUUGUGUAUUUGUGUCUGUGUGAAAUUAUAUAUAUUUAUUCAUGUGUUAUUAAAAUCAUGUAAUGGUAAAUGUUAGAAGGGAGAAGGCCAUGAUAAGUUGUAAUAAUUUUUAUCCAAUCGAUUGUCUAGAUUUAGUUGACCUUAAAAUUCAUUUAAAGAAAAAAGACAAACGACCCGAAAAAACCUGAAAUUGGGUCGACUUUGGGAGGCAUGGGCCUGUGAUUUCAUAUACUGACUGUCGAUAGGCGUCAGUUUUUAUGGCUUUAUUGACAAACUGAAACUUUUUCUCUGGCCUUCCAUGUUAUAACAAAGAUCAAGCAAUUAAUUUUUAAUUUUCCUGUUGCAUAUUUGAAGCUUGGUAAUUAGCAUUUUUCUCUCUUUUGUAUAGAAAUGACUUUCACUGCACGUAAUGUAUGAACGAAACCUGUAGUGUUGGCAUAAAAUCACAUUGAAGUUAAGGUAACAAGAAACGCAAAUAUAUAAUCUUCGGAUUUAAGGUCCAAAAUAUAAUCACAACAAAAAUAGAGGUUUGAUAUUUUUUAUUUAUUAAUAAACUCAGCCAGGAAACACACAUGAAGGGCAUAUACCGUGAGUAGAAAACUACAGCUGGUCCACAAGGACAUAAUUUAUAUAACGAUUUCAUAAUACAUAAAAUACAAGCAACAGACAAACUCCUGCUACUUGAUUUCAGCUAGUCACAAAUGUACAUGUAUACCAUUAACAAAUUACUCUAUUUGAAUCUUUCAAACAAUGGCAGAGGAUCAUAUGAAUGUAACUUCUAUUAAGUCCUUGUGUUACCAAAGCCAGACAGACUGUAGAUUUGUUCUGUCAAAUUUUAAUACAGUGCAUGUUCUCGAGCUAUUGUAAAGAAUACAAACCUGGUUAAAUUUGUCUUUAAUGGAAAACAAACUUCGAACACAGAUAAUCAAUAUUUGAACUAUUUGUGUGAUAAGAAGGGACUCUGCCUUGUAACAAACUACAAUUAGUUGACUGAUCGGAAAAUAAUAAUCACAAAGGGUUAACAUCUUGUACAAUAGGUUUUUAAUUUGAAAUUUGAGUGGGGUGGAGGUGGAACACCAGGCGACAGGUGCUAUUGGGAUUAAGGUAGACACUGCUCAGUAAUUGAUCUGUGAUUCUAUCAGAAGGGCAACUAAUUUGGGGGUUAUUAUUUUUAACACUUGAUUAUAAUAAUGUCAAGAUAAAGUUAAGCACCAUUUAAGCAUUACACUGUUUCCAGAUGCAGUUCAUAGGCAAUAUAAACGCCCACUGCAUUACAGGACAAGGACUUAAACCGCUUUUAUAUAACUUCUCAUUUGGUCCAAAGUCUGAUGACCCGAAAUAAAGUUUACUUGGGUUUACAUAUUGACAUUGCAGCUCAAAUUUAAACAGUCAUGCCAUACAAACAAGACAAUGUCA
rnacentral:lncRNA from 1 species